rnacentral:tRNA from 1 species
GCGGGUAUCGUAUAGCGGCUAAUAUGUAACCUUCCCAAGGUUGAGAUCAGGGUUCAACUCCCUGUACCCGCACCA